rnacentral:rRNA from 1 species
CUUUUCUUGUAUUUGAUAUGAAAUAUGACCUGCCCACUGAAGUUGAUUGAAGGGCCGCGGUAUUUUGACCGUGCAAAGGUAGCAUAAUCAUUAGUCUUUUAAUUGUGGACUGGAAUGAAUGGUUGGACGAGGAAUAGACUGUUUCUUAUUAUUUUUAUUGAAUUUAAUUUUUAAGUUAAAAAGCUUAAAUUUAUUUAUGGGACGAGAAGACCCUAUAGAGUUUAUAUAUAUUAUUUAUUUAUUUUGUUUGAUUUUUAUUUUUAAAUAUUUAAUAUAUUUUGUUGGGGUGAUGGGAAGAUUUAAUUAACUCUUCUUUUUUUAUAUACAUUUAUUUAUGAGUGGUUGAUCCAAUUUUGUUGAUUAUAAGAUUAAAUUACCUUAGGGAUAACAGCGUAAUCUUUUUUGAGAGUUCUUAUUGAUAAAUGGGUUUGCGA